GGGAUUUUGGCCGAGUGGUCUAAGGCGCCAGCUUCAGGUGCUGGUCUCUUCGGGGGCGUGAGUUCGAACCUCACAGAUCUCA
rnacentral:tRNA from 1 species